rnacentral:rRNA from 1 species
GAUGAACGCUGGCGGCGUGCCUAAUACAUGCAAGUCGAACGCAUAGCGAAAGGUGCUUGCACCUUUCAAGUGAGUGGCGAACGGGUGAGUAACACGUGGACAACCUGCCUCAAGGCUGGGGAUAACAUUUGGAAACAGAUGCUAAUACCGAAUAAAACUUAGUGUCGCAUGACACAAAGUUAAAAGGCGCUUCGGCGUCACCUAGAGAUGGAUCCGCGGUGCAUUAGUUAGUUGGUGGGGUAAAGGCCUACCAAGACAAUGAUGCAUAGCCGAGUUGAGAGACUGAUCGGCCACAUUGGGACUGAGACACGGCCCAAACUCCUACGGGAGACUGCAGUAGGGAAUCUUCCACAAUGGGCGAAAGCCUAAUGGAGCAACGCCGCGUGUGUGAUGAAGGCUUUCGGGUCGUAAAGCACUGUUGUAUGGGAAAAACAGCUAGAAUAGGAAAUGAUUUUAGUUUGACGGUACCAUACCAGAAAGGGACGGCUAAAUACGUG